rnacentral:rRNA from 1 species
UCGAACGAAUCAAAUAUGGGUAACUGGGUGGGGGAAGUGGCGAAAGGGGCAGUAAGGCGUGGGCAACCUACCCCGGGGAUCGGGAUAGCCGUCCUAACGGACGGAUAAUACCGGGCGAUCUGGCGAGGAGGCAUCUUCUGGCCAGGAAAUGAAUUUCGCCUCGGGAGGGGCUCACGUAGUAUUAGCUUGUUGGCGGGGUAACGGCCCACCAAGGCCAAGAUGCUUAGCGGGUGUGAGAGCACGACCCGCGCCACUGGCACUGAGACACUGGCCAGACUCCUACGGGAGGCUGCAGUCGAGGAUCUUCGGCAAUGGGCGCAAGCCUGACCGAGCGACGCCGCGUGUGCGAUGAAGGCCUUCGGGUUGUAAAGCACUGUCGAGGGGGAGAAAAGCCCGCAAGGGUCUGAUCUAUCCCUGGAGGAAGCACGGGCUAAGUUCGUGCCAGCAGCCGCGGUAAGACGAACCGUGCGAACGUUGUUCGGAUUCACUGGGCUUAAAGGGCGCGUAGGCGGACGGUCAAGUCGGGGGUGAAAUCUUUCAGCUUAACUGGAAACGUGCCUUCGAUACUGAUCGUCUCGAGGGAGGUAGGGGCAUGCGGAACUUCCGGUGGAGCGGUGAAAUGCGUAGAUAUCGGAAGGAACGCCGGUGGCGAAAGCGGCGUGCUGGACCUCUUCUGACGCUGAGGCGCGAAAGCCAGGGGAGCGAACGGGAUUAGAUACCCCGGUAGUCCUGGCCCUAAACGAUGGGUACUAGAUUGUGGACUUAACAUGGGUUCCCAAUCGAAGCUAAAGUGUUAAGUACCCCGCCUGGGGAGUAUGGUCGCAAGGCUGAAACUCAAAGGAAUUGACGGGGGCUCACACAAGCGGUGGAGCAUGUGGC